CGCCAGACUCCUACGGGAGGCAGCAGUGGGGAAUAUUGCACAAUGGGGGAAACCCUGAUGCGGCGACGCCGCGUGAGUGAAGAAGUAUUUCGGUAUGUAAAGCUCUAUCAGCAGGGAAGAAAAUGACGGUACCUGAUUAAGAAGCCCCGGCUAACUACGUGCCAGCAGCCGCGGUAAUACGUAGGGGGCAAGCGUUAUCCGGAUUUACUGGGUGUAAAGGGAGCGUAGACGGCAGCGCAAGUCUGGAGUGAAAUGCCGGGGCCCAACCCCGGAACUGCUCUGGAAACUGUGAAGCUGGAGUGCAGGAGAGGUAAGCGGAAUUCCUGGUGUAGCGGUGAAAUGCGUAGAUAUCAGGAGGAACACCGGCGGCGAAGGCGGCUUACUGGACUGUAACUGACGUUGAGGCUCGAAGGCGUGGGGAGCAAACAGGAUUAGAUACCCGCGUAA
rnacentral:rRNA from 1 species